rnacentral:rRNA from 1 species
AGCGUUGUUCGGAAUCACUGGGCGUAAAGCGUGCGUAGGCUGUUCUCCCAGUCAGAAGUGAAAGCCCGAGGCUCAACCUCGGAAUUGCUUUUGAAACUGUAGGACUCGAAUUCGGGAGAGGAUAGCGGAAUUGUCAGUGUAGCAGUGAAAUGCGUAGAUAUUGACAGGAACACUAGUGGCGUAAGCGGCUAUCUGGACCGACAUUGACGCUGAGGCACGAAAGCGUGGGGAUCAAACAGG